UCAAACUUGGUCAUUUAGAGGAAGUAAAAGUCGUAACAAGGUUUCCGUAGGUGAACCUGCGGAAGGAUCAUUACUAAAUGAGUUUUUGAAAAGGGUUAUAGCUAGCCUUCUAUAAGGCAUUUGCAAUGCUCCGCUCAUUCACUCUAUAAACUUAUGUGCAGAACCGGCUAGAGAGUGUAUAUAUGUGGGAAAAUAUAUUCUAUUAAUCUAGUUGCAAGACUUGAAUUGAUAGCACACUCGUCUAUGCCCAUUUUUUUUUUUAAAAAAAACACACACAUGAUUUUAGUAACAGAAUGUUAUGCUUUUGCAUUUUUAUAAUGCAUUAUAAUAUAACUUUCAGCAACGGAUCUCUUGGCUCUCGCAUCGAUGAAGAACGCAGC
rnacentral:misc_RNA from 1 species